UUGAGUUUUUAGUGUUUUGACAGAUAAAAAAUAGUUUUGUUUUGUUUUUGUUGUUUUAUUUUUUAUUUUGAAGGAUAACGAAUUUACGUUCUGAGGGUGGCGUCGUUAGUUUGUGUGGUGGUGUGUGUGAGUGUAGUGCUUUGCCAGUGAAAUAUUUCCAAAGUUUGUAAAUUCAGUGU